rnacentral:tRNA from 1 species
CGCCGUCUAGAGACGCUUGACUUCCAAUCACUAUAAGCAAUGGCCGCUUGUGGCGUGG